UGGUGGCACCAGUGUGGGAAUGCAGG
rnacentral:piRNA from 1 species